rnacentral:lncRNA from 1 species
UCCCGGUCUCCGUCGCUGAGUACUUACAGAGACAUCUGGGCGGCCGGAACACCGUUGAGCUUUUGAAGAUUGAGGGUCAUUUGCCGCAUUUGAGCGCCCCUGCGGUCGUGGGUCCCGUCAUCCGGCGAGCCCUGUCGAGAUGAUGAUUUCUCUAGCUACUAGGUGGGGCCCGCACCCGGAAUAAUUUGUGGACAAAAGGCUUUUGGACUCGGGAUUAUUAUUAUUAUUAUAUGAUCUUCUUACAAAGAUAAGCGUACCCAUGUGAUUAUCACGUGAAGACGUGUCCUAUUUUGUUUUGUUUUUUCCUUUUUUCUUAUAAUGUGCCAAACUUUUAUCCUUUAUUCGGCAAGCGAAAAUCAGGAAAUGAAAGGGCUGUCUGUUGUACCUUUUUUUUUUUUAUAACUAUUGACAUUGGAUACUUUCUUGGACUAAGAUUCUCCUUUUGCUUUUUUAUCUUCUAAUUUUUUUGGUUAAAUGAGUGAUAAAAGUUUGAAUUUUAAAUUUUGAUAUUAAUAAAUAAAUUAAUUUUUUUUUUAUAUUCAAAUUAGUUUUUUUAAAAAUAGAUUUAAAAAGCAGAGAAAGACUAAUGGAAAAAACAAACAGAGGGAAGAAUCUUAAUCCAUUUUUCUUAUUCCGGAGGAAUUGCCGCCGACUUGUUAUUUAUUUUACGGCGGAGAAUCUUCAAUCUUAUGUUUAUUCGGUAAUAAGAUCCAAAAUGUGAGACAUCCACUAUUAGAUAGGGAUGGUAAUGGAUUUAAUCUGACACAAGAUUCAUGUGAUCUAAAUUUAAUCGGAUCGAAUUUGGGUCGGUUUAAAAUGAAUUUGGAUCGGAUUUAGAUAUUGAUGUGCAGAUCUAAGAAGGAUAUGGAGCAGGUCUGGAUAUAUCUUAAUAUCUAAAUCCAUAUCCAUAUCCACUCAUCUUUUAAUUUAAUUUUAUUUUAAAAGUUUCUUAACAAUUGUGUAAUUAUACUGAUAAUAAAUUUUAUUCAUAGCAUAUUAGUGGUAUUUACCAUGUAUUUAAACUCUUAAAACUUAAAUGUUAGUUUUGUAAAUUUAAAGGUCAGCCAGCCCUAAAGUAUGUGCAUGCAAUAUUCAAAUUGCAAGUCAAGUAAUACAACCUGACAAUUUAUUUUAUUAUAUUAGCCAAAUAAUUUUUAAGGAAUAUAGUUAUUUAUAUAUUUAGUCAAAUAUGGUCAUAAUAAAAAUAAUAAAUGAUUUAAUAUAAAUUAUAUUUAAUUUAUAUGUCAUUAUCUAAUGUUAUAAGAAUGAAGGUGAGUGUGUCGUUAAUAUUAAAAUAAUGAAUGAUAUAAUAGAAUAUUAGAUUGAUCUUACUCCUGUAAUUACUUUUAAAAGAUAUUUUAUUAUCUUAUUUGUUAUUUUGGUGUAAAUGUAUAAGUUACAAUAUUUAUUAUAUUUUUGAAAAAAAAUAUAUAAUUUAUUUGUUAUCAAUACAUUUUAGUUUUCAAUUUUCAUUCUAAAAAAUUAUUACUUUUUUAAUUGAUGAGUUUUAGAAUUCAUGACAAAUCUAGAGCAUAUUUGAAUUAUUAUUAUUUUUCGGAUUUGAAGCAGAUAUAGAUAUUUAUUUCUUUUUUGGAUCUGGAUAUGGAGCGAAAAAUAUGGAUUCAUGACGGAUCUGGAGCAGAUACAAAUCUUAAUUUUUAUUAUGAAUCUGGAUAUGGAGUAGAAUAGAUUCAAUCCAUAUCUGCCUCAUUUGCCAUCCCUACUUUUAGAUGGGUUUCGGCCACAUAUUCUUUUCCUCCCGCAGCACGUUGUCUCUCUAAUUUGGGUCGUCCAUUAUCUAUUUUUCACUGUCACGAGAGAAAUACAUUGGAAGUUUUAUUUAUCCUUUGUCUUCGUUAAUGAUAUUUUGUUUUUUCAUUUAGACUUUAUAAUUGCAUUCGACAUUCAUAUUUUAAUUUAAACUAUGGAUAUGAAAUAUAUUGAUUAGUUUUUACGACUCGGACCCUAACUAAUAGUUGAGAAGAAAAUUUGAGUCCCACACGACUCGGACCUGCGCCCCCAAUCCCUCAAAUCGAGAGCACAGGUCCUUCACAACUUGGCCUUUAUUUGAUUGUUUUUGUUUUUUUUCCAAUUUUGCAAAAAUACGACAGACAAGUGACAUUUAUGUAACCAAGAAUUAUUGCAGCAUUAUUUCAGUAUUAGCCAUCUAAUUAAUGAAGAUGUUUCACUUCAUUAUCUAUCUACGGUUGUUUCAAUUUUCUAAGAAAAAUAAAAACUACUUAAAAGGAGUACCCUUCUUCCAAAAUAAACUUAACGUGAUUAUUGAAGCUUUUUAGAAUUGUCAUUUGCUGUUAAAUACUUGAAUAGGCAAAGCAAACUCGCACGACAGUUCGUUACCACAGCCCUGGGCCUAGUUGGGUUUUAAAUGAAGGCCUGUCCCAAACUCCUAAUGGAAGGGAAACAAAAUGGAGGAGGGCGAAUAAUUAGUCCAGGCCUUCAUUUGUAAAACCCACUCAGGCCCAUGACUGUCGUAAUGCUAACUACGAGAUCGGUAAUAUUUGACCCCUUUAUUAGCCUCCACCUUUUAACUAAUUUUAUUAAAAAUUAAAAAUUAAUUUUUAUCUCUCAACAUACUUCAUCUAGUCCCGAAUUUAUCCUUAUUAUAAUUUUUAUCUUUUAUUCCAAGCACUCAUCAUAUAAAACUUAUAAAAUAUAUUUUAGAAAAAAAAAAUUCUCAAAAUCACUAUUAUAUCUCUCUUUCUUUUUAAAAGUUUUAUCCACCGUGGCCAUAACUAUAAAAAAAUACUUGGUACUUCUUCAUUAUCCUCUAGUGAGUAUUGUAAAUUAAUUUCUUCCAUAAUUAAAAAAAUAGAGGGUAUAAUAUUUCAGAAUAGAUAAUAAUUUAAAAUUUUAAAAGAAAUUAGAUUAGCUAAAUUAGAUAUUAAUAGAAAUUAUCAUGUGGGGGCACUUAAAAGUUAUUUACUCUUUUAAGUCAUGUCAAAUAAGGAUAAAAUAAGUAUUAGUAUAAAAGCGAUUAGUGGGGAUUGACGAGAUAUAAUGAGGGGGUCAAAUAUUACAACUCCAACUACCAUGUGUUAUUUUCAGAGUGUUGCUACGGAGGACUAUCAACCCCUAAAAUAACCUUUAUCUAACUGAACCACGCCGGAAAAAUAAAAUAAAAUAAAAAUCAUAAUAUUAUUAAUAACAUCUACACGCCAUGAGUUGAUGAUUGUAUUUGUUUCAUUCUUUUUUAAUAACAGGUAUGACUUUUAACUUAGUAAGGAUGUCACUAAAAAACUUUUCAAAUGAGAAGUGAAAAACGCUUCAAAUGAGAUUGUUAUUUUCUCUCUCUUUAAAUUUAAAAAGUGAAUUCUCCUUCUUCAAAUAAUAUUAUGUUAUUUUUUUAUAUCAUCAUUAUUAAAAAGAAAAGUAUUAUAACUAUAUCAAUGAAAAAAUAUAGGCUAAUUAAAUUUGGUGAGAGAAGAAUUUAAUUAGAAUAAUACAAACUUGUAUCUAUAUGAAGAGUCAUUUCCGAAAAAAAAAUAAUUAUCUUUUCACCCUUCUAUUUGCUAAAUAGAUAAGUAAAUAAGCAUUUAUAGUGUAAAAUUAAAUAACUCUUUUAUUGAUUCUCUAACAACAGUUGCAUAAUCAUUCAUUAUUGACUCUAUAUACAAUACCACAAAUGUAUGUUUGUGAUACGAUCCUAGGUUUCCAUUGAUAUAAAUAAAGAAAAAGAAUAGAUAAUUGUUGAUCUCGUCAAGAGAAUCUUCCUUCAAUUAAUCAAAAGACUGUACGAUUAUUUGAUUGGUAGAAUAUAAAAUCCUUGUUUAGAGAGUUUUUAGAGAAACAUUGAACCUUAUCUAAUUAUGCAUGAAUAUGGUAUUUCAAAAUUCAUAACACAAGCUAAUUUUCUUUUUUUUAAGCCUAGGGAUGGGCAUGGGUUGGUAGAAUCAGGUUUGUGAAAAUUCAACCCAACCCGCUAUUUAAGGAAUUGAGAAAAAAAAUCAACUCAAUAGAACCAAAUAAACAUGUCAAAUACAGACCAAUUCAAUUCUUAAAUUAUCAAGUUGGUUGGGUUGAUUGAAGUUAAAAAAAAAAAAAAUUCAAACAUUGAAAAAUAUUAAAAAAACUAUUUGGUAAUUAAUUGAAAUAAGAAAAAGACAAAUUAAUUCUCUAUAAAAACUAUUUUAGUGAGAACUCGGAUUUAAUCUUUGAAUUUUGAAUCAAAGAGAACCCAACUAAUGUCAGGUUUAACAAAAUGAAAUCGAAAAAAGUCUAUUUUCUAAAAGAAUAUAAAGGUGGUCAACAGUUGACAUUAAUUUUGCUAAGAGUUUUGCCAUUCUUGGGUUGGGUUGGGUUAUAUGGUUUCACUAACAUGAACUCAACCUAAUCCAUUCAUUAAUGAGGUUGAAAAAAAUGGUCGAAAUCCAACAAAUCAAUUUAAUUAAUUUUGGGUUGAGUUUGGCUGAAUUAGAUCCAUUAGUUGAAUUUGGUUUACUCACUCGCACUACAAAGGGAUCCAGAAGGGACUUACCGUGUUAGUCUCAUCAUCACCAUUGGUAUUUUCCGUGGGCUGAACGCUAAACGAUCAGCCUUACUUACUUCGUUUGGUUUUAUCUUCUGAUCAGUAUUAUAUUACUAGUGGUAUAUUAGAAUAUGAAUUAAGAUUCUUCAAGGAACCAUUCUUGUAUGCGUACAAGAAUUACACACCCACACACAUAUAUAUUGUCAAUUCUGUCGUGUUUGUCCCAGCUGUGUCCAUUUCUUCUGUAACAAUACCACCCUGACCUAUUCUCAGUUUUGGUACGGUGUAGGUAAAGAAGUCGCGGAUGCCGGGGCAAUAAUUUAAUUGAACCAGUGCUAUGUGAGCGAAGCAAUGCACUUAUAUUUUAUAUUUUAUCAUUUUAAACAGAAGCUUGGGUAAUAAAUGAACUGUAGAGAAAUUGAAACAUCAGCUAUUUGUCCUUAUUGAGUUUUGAGAGUUGGUGGACGCGGCGGCCAUCUGCCUAUUCGGCUAUAUUCAUUCCCUGGCGGCUAGCUCGGCCAAGUCCACUAGGUGAGGGCGGCCAUAUUUGAUCAUUCUCUGCGAUCAUCAUCGAUGGUAUUUUACCAAGGCAAGAAUGCGCAGCUCUUAUAGGGUCGGCUUCAUUUGGAAGGCACUGGUUGAGAAUUUCUAACUUAAGUGUGUGGUUGGUCAAGUCAACUCUGGUGGCCCUCUGUUUCUUAUCUCAUAAUCUUGCCUGUGUAAAACGCGUAUCGAAUUGCAACUUUGCGAGUUUGUAUGACCAACCUCCAUAAUGGUUUUGACCCAUAGCAAAUUAUUGUUAACCCUUUUUUGGUCUUGGGUUGUAAUGGCCCACCAGUGACUCUCCCAGACCGGUUCAAUUUUAAUUUCUGUCGAGAGUUGGCGCAACGAACUAAACUACCCACCAACUGUAAACUGUAGAUUCUAUGUUGGAUCUCUUGAACAACAGUUACAACCCUCUAUCCUAAAACAUUUAAUUAAUUUUGCGUAUGUGUGUACGCCAUUUUCUCUAAAAAGAAAACAGUUAUAAAUAUAGUGAAUUAAGGACUGUAAACUUCAGUUUUCUGGUCUUAAGAGAACACUGAAAGCUGCAAUGUAAUAAAAAUAUCUAUUUUCUUGUGCGUACAAAUACAAUUUUGUACAUGGAAUUUUCCAUGAAGUCAUACUGAAAUUCAUUUCUUAUUGUUUAUUACGCGGCAGUUGCGAAGUCAAUAUCACUAGAAAGAAGAAGAAAGAUAGAAGAAAAACAAAAGUGAGAGAGAGAAAACUAGAUUCUUUUAUUAAGCAUGACGUUUAAGCCUAGGACUAAACUUCAUAGAGUUCAAAUCAAACAUGAACUUAAAAAACAUAACAUAUCAUUCCCUCAAAAAUAUUCUAAAUAAUAAAAGAUUUUGUUACAUGAGAAACAUGGAUUUUUUAUUUUUCAUUUUUACAACAUAUUAGUAAGGUUCAAUUAACAAAAUAAGUAAACGGUCCAUAUCUCUUUCUCCGUACUCUUGAUGAAGCUAUCUCUUGAUUUUAUUUGAGUUAAAGAGUAUAUUGAAAUAGAUAUAAAUAUGUGACUGGAUUUUUCUUUUCAGAUUUGAAUGUAUGGUGAUAUGGUUGUUUUGUUACUUUUAUUUGUUAUGAUAUGUUUAUCUUAGGAAUCGAUCUUUUUGAAAGAUCCAUAGUCACUUUGUUACUCGACAAAGUCUACUCUUAUAAUG